GCAUCGAUGAAGAACGUAGCGAAAUGCGAUACUUGGUGUGAAUUGCAGAAUCCCGUGAACCAUCGAGUCUUUGAACGCAAGUUGCGCCCGAGGCUAUUUGGCCGAGGGCACGCCUGCCUGGGCGUCAUGC
rnacentral:rRNA from 1 species